UUAACUGAAACCAAAGUAGAGGUAUAUUACUGUUAAUAAUAUCAUUGAGUAACUUAUUCCAGUUAAG
rnacentral:tRNA from 1 species